AGCAGUACCAUGGCACCUAAUACAUCAAAGUUGUGAAGAAAUCAAACAUUUCAAAAUGUUUUCUUUGAAAUAUAGAUCUUUGUUAAUUGUAAUUGGUGUGGAUAGCAUGUAAUGCAAUAAAUGUAACAGUUAGAGACCUGCUUAUCCAAUAUAAAAUUUAUAUUGCAGGAAAAUUUGCAGGUAGAACUGAACUGUGUAUUCAUUACUCCGUCCCAUUUUUUGUUAAACUGUCUGCAUGGUGGAGCGAAUGGCAUUAUGGAGUUGUGCAAGGGCUGUUUCAGGAAAUCACAUUAUCUGCCAUGUGAGCAUCUACCAGUGCUAUGCAGCAGCCCACAGGGGAGCCGUGUAUAGCUUCCAGCACGGAGCCAGCAAAUACAGCAUCAGCAGAUGAAGCGAGCCCUUGCGUCCCUGUAUAUGUCCUCACAUUGAACUGCUCACCUCAGUUUCUUUGCAGGAGGUUGCCCUGGAAGAGAUGAGAAAUGCUGACCAAAAAUCACCACCCAUUACCAUCGAACAACAAGAGACCACAGCAGCACACCUGUAGGAAGAGGGGGAAGAGAGCCUCCUGAAACAGCACUUUCAGACAGAAGGGAAGGAACCCAAACAAACCCAAAGGAUGCCAAACACCUAACCACAGGCAACUGCCACACCCAGCCAACCAGCAAACCGCUUUAAAGGUUAAUGACAAAAGUUAUGACUCACCAAACUGGCACGCAUCUCCAGUCAGACCAGUCGGGCACUGACAGACCCC